CAAUAGCGUAUAUUUAAGUUGUUGCAGUUAAAAAGCUCGUAGUUGGAUUUCGGGUGGGACGCAGCGGUCUCGCAUUGCGUUUGUACUGCUGCAGCCCUCCUUCUUGCCGGGGGCGGCCUCUCGGACUUCACUGUCUGGGGGUCAGAAUCGGCGAUGUUACUUUGAGUAAAUUAGAGUGUUCAAAGCAAGCUUACGCUCUGAAUAUAAUAGCAUGGGAUAACACGACAGGACUCUGGCCUAUCGUGUUGGUCUAUAGGACCAGAGUAAUGAUUAAGAGGGACAGUCGGGGGCAUUCGUAUUCCGUUGUCAGAGGUGAAAUUCUUAGAUUUACGGAAGACGAACAUCUGCGAAAGCAUUUGCCAAGGAUGUUUUCAUUGA
rnacentral:rRNA from 1 species